rnacentral:rRNA from 1 species
CAACCUGCCCACCACUUGGGGAUAACCUUGCGAAAGUAAGACUAAUACCCAAUGAUAUCUCUAGAAGACAUCUGAAAGAGAUUAAAGAUUUAUCGGUGAUGGAUGGGGAUGCGUCUGAUUAGCUUGUUGGCGGGGUAACGGCCCACCAAGGCAACGAUCAGUAGGGGUUCUGAGAGGAAGGUCCCCCACAUUGGAACUGAGACACGGUCCAAACUCCUAUGGGAGGCAGCAGUGAGGAAUAUUGGUCAAUGGACGAGAGUCUGAACCAGCCAAGUAGCGUGCAGGAAGACGGCCCUAUGGGUUGUAAACUGCUUUUAUAAGGGAAUAAAGUGAGUCUCGUGAGACUUUUUGCAUGUACCUUAUGAAUAAGGACCGGCUAAUUCCGUGCCAGCAGCCGCGGUAAUACGGAAGGUCCGGGCGUUAUCCGGAUUUAUUGGGUUUAAAGGGGGCGUAGGCCGGAGAUUAAGCGUGUUGUGAAAUGUAGAUGCUCAACAUCUGAACUGCAGCGCGAACUGGUUUCCUUGAGUACGCACAAAGUGGGCGGAAUUCGUGGUGUAGCGGUGAAAUGCUUAGAUAUCACGAAGAACUCCGAUUG